rnacentral:rRNA from 1 species
UACGUAGGGGGCAAGCGUUGUCCGGAAUCAUUGGGCGUAAAGAGCGUGUAGGCGGCCAGAUAAGUCCGCUGUGAAAUCUCGAGGCUCAACUUCGAGCUGUCGGUGGAAACUGUCUGGCUAGAGUCCGGAAGAGGAGAAUGGAAUUCCUGGUGUAGCGGUGAAAUGCGCAGAUAUCAGGAGGAACACCGAUGGCGAAGGCAGCUCGCUGGGACGGUACUGACGCUGAGGCGCGAAAGCGUGGGGAGCGAACAGG